UACGGAGGGUGCGAGCGUUGUUCGGAAUUACUGGGCGUAAAGCGUGCGCAGGCGGUUAUGUAAGACAGAGGUGAAAUCCCCGGGCUCAACCUGGGAACUGCCUUUGUGACUGCAUGGCUAGAGUGCGGCAGAGGGGGAUGGAAUUCCGCGUGUAGCAGUGAAAUGCGUAGAUAUGCGGAGGAACACCGAUGGCGAAGGCAAUCCCCUGGGCCUGCACUGACGCUCAUGCACGAAAGCGUGGGGAGCAAACAGG
rnacentral:rRNA from 1 species